rnacentral:rRNA from 1 species
UACGUAGGGUGCAAGCGUUGUCCGGAAUCAUUGGGCGUAAAGCGCGCGUAGGCGGCCCGAUAAGUCCGCUCUGAAAGUCCAGGCUCAACCCUGGAAAGCGGGUGGAUACCGCCGGACUAGAGUUCGGAAGAGGCGAGUGGAAUUCCCGGUGUAGCGGUGAAAUGCGCAGAUAUCGGGAGGAACACCUAUGGCGAAGGCAGCUCGCUGGGACGUUACUGACGCUGAGACGCGAAAGCGUGGGGAGCAAACAGG